rnacentral:RNase_P_RNA from 1 species
GGAGUUGGCCAGACAAUCGCUGUAGUUCGCUAUGGAGGAAAGUCCGGGCUCCCUCGGACAGGGCGCCAGGUAACGCCUGGGAGGCGCGAGCCUAUGGAAAGUGCCACAGAAAAUAUACCGCUUGUUUCUUAUUCGGAAGAUAUAAGUAAGGGUGAAAUGGUG